rnacentral:piRNA from 1 species
UCAUGGACGUAUGUGAAUGUG